GAUGAACGCUAGCUACAGGCUUAACACAUGCAAGUCGAGGGGCAGCAUGGUCUUAGCUUGCUAAGGCUGAUGGCGACCGGCGCACGGGUGAGUAACACGUAUCCAACCUGCCGUCUACUCUUGGCCAGCCUUCUGAAAGGAAGAUUAAUCCAGGAUGGGAUCAUGAGUUCACAUGUCCGCAUGAUUAAAGGUAUUUUCCGGUAGACGAUGGGGAUGCGUUCCAUUAGAUAGUAGGCGGGGUAACGGCCCACCUAGUCAACGAUGGAUAGGGGUUCUGAGAGGAAGGUCCCCCACAUUGGAACUGAGACACGGUCCAAACUCCUACGGGAGGCAGCAGUGAGGAAUAUUGGUCAAUGGGCGAUGGCCUGAACCAGCCAAGUAGCGUGAAGGAUGACUGCCCUAUGGGUUGUAAACUUCUUUUAUAAAGGAAUAAAGUCGGGUAUGCAUACCCGUUUGCAUGUACUUUAUGAAUAAGGAUCGGCUAACUCCGUGCCAGCAGCCGCGGUAAUACGGAGGAUCCGAGCGUUAUCCGGAUUUAUUGGGUUUAAAGGGAGCGUAGAUGGAUGUUUAAGUCAGUUGUGAAAGUUUGCGGCUCAACCGUAAAAUUGCAGUUGAUACUGGAUGUCUUGAGUGCAGUUGAGGCAGGCGGAAUUCGUGGUGUAGCGGUGAAAUGCUUAGAUAUCACGAAGAACUCCGAUUGCGAAGGCAGCCUGCUAAGCUGCAACUGACAUUGAGGCUCGAAAGUGUGGGUAUCAAACAGG
rnacentral:rRNA from 1 species